rnacentral:lncRNA from 1 species
AACUAUAUCAAAUUUUAGAUUUUAGAGAGAAAAACUAUCACAAAAUUUUCAGAGAGAGAAACUAUCUCAACUUUUAGUUUAUAUAUGGAGGUAUUUUUGUUCUAAAAAACUAUCUUCUUGUUUGCAUAAUUAAAAAGUAUUAGAGUUAAAAAAUAGUUGGGAGAACAUAGCUAGGAGGUAUUAGGGAGUAUCUUAAGUUUCUCUUCUAUUUUUGUUUUUAUAAAUUGUGUCAAAUAUGAUUAAAUGACUAUGGGAAUAUUUCUAAGUAUCCCUGCAAUAGAUGCUUAUUUUUUGUCCGUGUUGCAUUUUAUUUCUCACUCUCUGCACACU